UCCUUGGUGGUCCAGUGGUUAGGACUCUGUGCUUUCACUGCAGAGGACAUGGGUUUAAUCCCUAGUCAGGGAA
rfam:Ovis aries breed Texel chromosome 12, whole genome shotgun sequence.